rnacentral:rRNA from 1 species
AACGAACGCUGGCGGCGUGCUUAACACAUGCAAGUCGAACGGGGCUCAUCGCUUCGGUGGUGGGUCUAGUGGCGAACGGGUGAGUAACACGUGGGCAACCUGCCCCCGGCUCUGGGAUAACUCCAAGAAAUUGGGGCUAAUACCGGAUGUGACCGCUGGCCGCAUGGUCUGGUGGUGGAAAGGGUUUCCGGCUGGGGAUGGGCCCACGGCCUAUCAGCUUGUUGGUGGGGUAGUGGCCUACCAAGGCGACGACGGGUAGCCGGCCUGAGAGGGUGACCGGCCACACUGGGACUGAGACACGGCCCAGACUCCUACGGGAGGCAGCAGUGGGGAAUAUUGCGCAAUGGGCGGAAGCCUGACGCAGCGACGCCGCGUGGGGGAUGACGGCCUUCGGGUUGUAAACCUCUUUCAGCAGGGACGAAGCCGCGAGGUGACGGUACCUGCAGAAGAAGCACCGGCCAACUACGUGCCAGCCGCCGCAGUAA